rnacentral:rRNA from 1 species
CGGGUGAGUAAUGUAUGGGGAUCUGCCUGAUGGCGGGGGAUAACUACUGGAAACGGUAGCUAAUACCGCAUAAUGCUACGGACCAAAGCGGGGGACCUCCGGGCCUCGCGCCAUCAGAUGAACCCAUAUGGGAUUAGCUAGUAGGUGAGGUAACGGCUUACCUAGGCGACGAUCCCUAGCUGGUCUGAGAGGAUGAUCAGCCACACUGGGACUGAGACACGGCCCAG